UCUAAUCACACAACUACUCAUUAAUCAUUACUUCCAUCAAUAUUUAUGCCAUAUUACUAACUAAAAUUGUUAAAUUACAUAGGACAAGAGUGCAAAUUACAGGUAACAAAAGCAAAAUAAGGGAGGACAAAAAACCUAUGAUAUAUAGCAAGGUACUUAAUACUUAUAAUCCAAAUCCUUUUCUGCUUACAUUGCAUGUUCCACGGAGAACUGGAGAAGGAAGUGCCUCGAAAGCCCCACCAUUUGGUUAUCAAAAUUAUACUGCAGCCCCCUGUCGUGCAAUAAAAGGAUACAAGACAUUUGGUCCCCUCCCAGAUGUAAUGAUUUGUAUUCUUGCAGGGUUUACUACAUACACAUUCAUAUAUCCAGUUGCUCAAGGUUGAUCAUGCUCGCUGAAUGUUGUAUAAGUUGCUUCCUAACAUCCACCUGUAAUUGGCAUAAUGGAGAUGAGCAAUAAAAUCAAGUCAUUAGCAAAAGAGUGGAAAGAGAUGGACAGCCACCAGUCCACCAUAAUUAUCAUAUCAUAUCAUCAUAUAUUAUUAUAAGUGGAAGCUCCUAACCUCAAACACCAAAAAUAAAUUAAAUACUAAUAUCUAUUUAAUUAGUUAAAUAUUUAGUAGUUAUAUUUAAAUUCAUGCAUUAAACAAGAUCUAAAUGCAAUCUUAUAUUCAUGUACUAAAUAAAUGUGGGUAAUGAAGAGUCUAAUAACCUUCAAUUUUAAUUGGUAAGAUAAGUGGGGGUGAGGAAGAAUCUAUCAAAGACACUCACACAACAUUAUUUAAAUUCCCUUCUUUCAUCCAAAUUGUGAUCAUCUUGCAUUCUACAUUAGGUUAGUCUACAUCAUUUGUUCAUAUGAUAUAUUAUUUAUAUUUAUAUAUAUCUAUAUCUAUAUCUAUAUUUUAAUUUUAUUUAUUUAAUUACCUUAAAAGCAUGAACUCCUAACUUGAAUGUUAAAUUACUAUAAUAUCCCUAACUUAGGUUGUGACUUUUUCGAUGACUUGUGACUUUUCCGAUUAGUUGUGACUUUUUUCAAAGGGUUGUGAUUUUUCGAUGAGUUGUGACUUUUCCAAAGAGUUGUGACUUUUUCAAAAAGUUGUGUCUUUUCCAAAGUGUUGUGACUUCUCGGAAAGGUCAUGAUUUUUCUGAUAAGACACAAAAAACAUUUGUUCAUACUACACUUUGUUGACUAUAAAUAGAGGGACUUCCUUUCAUUUUUCAACCACUUUUUUUUUCUAAUCUUCUAAUCAUCUUCUUCUUGCAUUUUAAAAUUUUUUGUGUGAUUUAUUCUCGUUGAGUGAGUUCGAAGUUUAGUAGAAUAUGAGAUACCACUAUUCUGAUGAAGUAAGUCGUUCUAUCCUAAGAAGGUAUAUUUCAUAACCUCGAGUACUUGAGGAAAAUAAUAUAAUUUUUAUGAUAUAUUAAUUAUUUAUUUGCUUAAUAAAUACAUUAGUAUGUAAUGUUCCAAUAUAUGAAGUUAACAUAAUGUAGUCUAAAUUCAUUUGUUUUUUGUUAACAACUUAUCUUGUGAUGUAGAUAUAUGCUUCUGAAUAUCUUUUUCCAAAAUUUUAGAGAAUUGUCACGAUUUGUUUUUGAUACUCAAGACAAAAGAAUGACUUUAGCUAUCAAUGCUACUUAUGUGAUUUAGGCUCUCAUGAAGUUUUCUUCAAAAUAGUUAUUACUAUAUAAACAUUGUACUUUUGUUUUACUUAUUUACUAUUUCUUAAUAAUUCAGUAUUUUAGACGAAGAAAAGUUUAUAUGACUUGUAAUAACGCCAGUUGAAGUUUGUAUUAGUUUAAUUUUUAUUAUUUAUUUAAUAGCUAAUUUUAUGAGAUGAAUAUUUUUAUUAAUGCAAAUAUAUAUUUAUUAGUUCACUUGCUUGCAUACAGUCCCCUGGCAAUUGUAAACACAUACUUUACACCACUAAUCAACUUUGAUUCUUCCCCGUGAAGCAUUACUUAUACAACCUAUUAUUGGUUCACCUUCUCACAUACAGUCCCCUGGCAAUUUUAAACACAUACUUUACAUAUAUAUGUUACUCUAACCUUAGUUUAGCCGCACUUUACAUCUUAAUGAUACCCUCUUUUAUGCAUCAAAUUCCUACCUAAUCAUGCAGAUUUCGACCAUUUGCCGCCCUCUUCAAUGGUACUAAUACACAAUAAUGCCUAGAAUUAACAUUGUUGCCCAAUGGUAGUCAUCAAGAUCCAGCCCACAUGACGACUGAAAUUGAACUAGCAAAAUGGAAUGUACUGAUAAACAAUAUACAAAAACAGUCUGUUAAUUCAGUGAUGAGAGUCUUAGUAAUUUGAAGGGGUUCAAUAAUACCUUACAAGAAUUCAAGGCAUGAAGGGACUUUCAGAACAAUAAUAUUAUUAACAAAGAGGUAAUAACAUUGACAUUUUUACUUACCUUAUUAUUUUAUAGUUCAUGUUUAUUGUACUUAUACCCCCACCCCUUUGCACAAUACUAGGUACAAAAAUUCAAGCAACACUAUUUAAUAAACAUAUCGAAACAUGGAAGGACACAUUAAAACCAAAUAAGAGUUACUACAUUGCUAAAGGACGCUUAGAUCGCGUCAACCCCAACUACUAUUCCGUACAUAAAGAAGUUGAAUUGGCAUUUACAAAUAACACAAUCAUAAAGGCAACUGACACUGAGGGUUCAACACACAUAUUCUCUGUUGGCUUUGUAUCAUUGGAUCAUGUCAAUAAAUUACCUAAUGGUGCUAUUCUAGGUAACUAUCCACCCAAAUAAUUUGUUAUUUAAUUUCAUGCUCCAUUACGUAAUCACUAUCACUAAUUUACAUUACCUAUUCUAAGAUUUGAUUUGCGUUUUAGUUUCAAUGAAUUCCCUCAUUGAAAAAGAAUAUAGCAAGAGACGGGAGAUAGUUGUUACAAAUGAGCAGUAUGUUUUAAAGAUGCCUAAACUACCACCAAUAUAGAGAUAUGGUGAAGUAUUGACAUUUCGCUUCUAACUGAUAACCCAGCAUAGAGCAUACAACUGUUACUCUAUGAGAAGAUUUUGCAGAAAAUGACGGUGCUUUUCUAGAAAAGAUGAAAGAUGAUAAACCUAUAAUUGACUUAUGUGACGUUAGAAUCUCAAUCUUUAAAAGUAUUGGACAGACUACUUUAUGUUUUUAUAAUAAACUAAGUAUAGUUGUUAUUUCAAAUUUGAAACAAGCUCUUGUCACACUAGGCACUUUUGAAAUAUCUAUUAUUUCCAUGAGUAGCGUCUUGAUCAAUCCACAGUUUCAAAAAUCCACGGACCUGGUACAUUACAUUAAUCACACAUAUGUUCUGCAAUGUUAUUUAAAACUGAUUGUCACAACUAAUGUACAUACUAUACUUUUGCAUUGUAGGAUUAUUACAUACUGAAAUUCCUAAGUUCCCAAAACCUUUGCACCGAGCACAUCUCACUCAAAAUGGGUGAUACAGUUAACUAAUUUUAUCGAAAAUACAGGCAUGAAAUGGUAAAGGCCGAAAAUAAAGAUUUUAUGGUAACACCAAGUAGGAAAAUGAGAAGAGCCAUAGAAGUUCCGUUGGUAUAUAUUAUGGAUUGAUUUCUAGCUGAUUCACAACUGCAUACUAUCCUAUAUUUCUACUCUCUAAAAAUAAUAACUAUUUUAAUAUCCAAAAUAUCAUCACAAAUAUGGUAUAUUGGCGAUGCGCAGGAUUGUUUGUAUAAGUUCAAAGCAAUAAUUGUAGACAUACUCAAUAAAUAUGAGCUGUGGUAUUCGUCUUGCAAAAAGUGCAGCAAAAAAGUGAAAGUUAUCAAACAUAUUAUAUCUUGUAACAAUCGCGACAGUGAGAAUGUAGAAUAUGAAAUGAGGUUAGAUUUGGUAAAAACUUGAUUCUACAUUUACUAAUUAGAAAACAAAUUAAAUUUAAAUUUUAAAUGACUCCCCUUAUUAAACAGAUACUGCUUACGACUUGAAGUGUGUGGUGGAGAACAACAAACAACGUGCCCGAGCUAUACUAUUUGAAGCGGCUAAAUAUUUACUAGGUUGUAGCGUGCAAGACUACAUAGAAUCGAUCUCAGUAAAGAUAUGAAUUGUAUAUAUACCUAAACACCUUAACGCCCAAUGAACUCUGCCGCAUAGGUACGUUGUCUAAUUCAUCCUAACUUUUACAGUUAUCUUAUUGUGAUACUUCAUAGCACAAAAGAGAAGAAAAGAAUUACCUAAUUACAUAUACAUAACAAUUGAUGAUUCUGUUAAUUUUAUACAUUAGGUUAGUUUUAAAAUAAAAUGCGCCCAUCAUGCUGCUGAGAAAACUGGACCCCUCAAAUGGAUUAUGCAAUGGGACAUGGUUAAUUUGUAAAGGCUCUGACGAGAAUGUCAUACAUGCAGAAGAAACAACAGGUCAAUAUGCCACAAACCAGGUACUUACUCCAACAAUACAACUAUCACCCCCCCCCCUCCCCUGCGAAAAUGAAGGAUACCCUUUCAAAUUUAUUCGGAAUAAUUUCCAAUACGUCUAUGUUUUUGCAAUGAUGAUAAAUAAAACUAAAGGACAAACGAUGUCAAAUGUAGGAGUAUACCUACCACAACAUGCUUUCUCUAUGGUAAACUAUAUGUUUCACUAUAUAGAGGAAUAUCUAUGCCAACAAAAAAAGUGCAGGUCAUAAUUGAACAACUAGAUUGAUGCACCGGGACAUAUACAAGAAAUACGGUCUACAAGAAAGUAUUAGGUGAGAUUUGAUAAAUACCAAAACUGUAAGAAAUCAAACAGGAAAAAACAAAAGGGAACAUACAGUUUCUAAUGAAAAUUUUAUUGGACGAAUUCUUAGGUUUUGUGGAAGAGGAGAUGAUAUGAAAAAUACCAGACAGCUACCAUAGAAGACAUUAGUUUUGUGUAUAUAAAGUUAUUCACAUACAGGGUACACUGAAUUUCAAAUAAUAAAAGGGAACAUACAGUUCAUGACACUACAUAACUAAGGGGAGCUUACAGUUCAUGACACGACAUAACUAAGAGGAUAAACUGUUAAUUCGUGCACAAUUACUUACUAACAAAUUGCCUAAUAACAAUUUAAGAAUACAACGUUCGUCACUGCAUGCCCAACAAGCAAGAAGGAAAAUAGAUUGGUCAUUCAGUUAGUAUGACGUAGUGCAAUAUUAAAUACAUAUUGAUAUGUUGAAAGCCUAAAAUACACAUAAAAAGAUAAAAUAUCUCGUGUAUAGGGAUCUCAAGACUUAACCUACACGUGCAACGCAUGUGCAGUGAAUAUAGUCUAGUUACCUUAAAAGCAUGAACUCCUAACUUGAAUGUUAAAUUACUAUAAUAUCCCUAACUUAGGUUGUGUCUUUUUCGAUGAGUAGUGACUUUUCCGAUAAGUUGUGACUUUUUUCAAAGGGUUGUGAUUUUUCGAUGAGUUGUGACUUUUCCAAAGAGUUGUGACUUUUUCAAAGGGUAGUGACUUCUCUGAAAGGUCAUGCCUUUUCAGAUAAGACACAAAAAACACUUGUUCAUACUACCCUUUGUUGACUAUAAAUAGAGGGGCUUCCUCUCAUUUUCAACAAUAAUUUUUUAAUCUUCUACUCUUCUUCUUCUUGUAUUUUAUAAAAAUUUCGUGUGAUUUAUUGACGUUGAGUGAGUCCAAAGUUUAGCGGAAUAUGAGGUACCACUAUUCUGAUGAAGUAAAUUGUUCUAUCCUAAGAAGGUAUAUUCCAUAAUCUCGAAUACUUGAGGAAAUAAUUUUUAUGAUAUAAUAAUUAUAUUUUACUUAACAUAUAUAUUAGUAUGUAAUGUUCCAAUAUAUGAAGUUAUCAUGAUGCAAUCUAAAUUCAUUUGUUUUUGUUAACUAUUUCUCUUGUGAUGUAGAUAUAUGUUUCUGAAUAACUUUUUCAAAAAUUAUUAGACUUCUCAAGAGUUAGAUAAUUGUCACGGUUUAUUUUUUUGAUGCUCAAGAAAAAAAAAAUGACUUUAUUUAUCAAUGCUACCUAUAUGAUUUGGAUUGUCAGGAAGUUUGUUUCAAAAAAGUUAUUACUAUAUAAACAUUGCCCUUUUGCUUUACAUAUUUACUAUUUCUUAAAUUUCAGUAUUUUAGACGAAGAAAAGUCCAUAUGACUUGUAAUAAUGUCAGUUGAAGUUUGUAUUAGUUUAAGUUUUAUUAUUUAUUUAAUAACUAAUUUUUAUGAGAUAAAUAUUUUCAUUAAUGCAAAUAUAUAUAUAUAUAUAUAUAUAUAUGUGUCACGAAUUAUAUGUGUCACAAAUGUAUUAUCAAGCUAACACGAUCUUCUAACUUCAAAAUAUAUUAUUUUAUAAUGUUCUGAAUUGUUUUUUUAAUUAAAAAAACUCACAACAAAUUUGAAAAUAUGUGGAUAUAUAUGAAUCAUUUGAAAUUUAUCAUUUACAAAAUAAAUUUUAUAUUCAGUAAUAUGGAAUAACCAUUUUCAUGUUGUCCUUACACUAAAUUAAAAUCUAAUAACUAUAAAAAUUGGGAACAUUAAUUAAAAGUCCCAAACGAAAAAUAAUCAAUACAAUUUUAAGGAAACGACAAAAUAGCGAGAAAAAUAGUUAUAGAUUUUAAUUUAGUGUAAGGACAAGAUGAAAAUGUUUAUUCCAUAUUAUCGAAUACAAAAUUUAUUAUAUAUAUAUAUUUGCAUUAAUGAAAAUAUUUAUCUCAUAAAAAUUAGUUAUUAAAUAAAUAAUAAAACUUAAACUAAUACAAACUUCAACUGACAUUAUUACAAGUCAUAUGGACUUUUCUUCGUCUAAAAUACUGAAAUUUAAGAAAUAGUAAAUAUGUAAAGCAAAAGGGCAAUGUUUAUAUAGUAAUAACUUUUUUGAAACAAACUUCCUGACAAUCCAAAUCAUAUAGGUAGCAUUGAUAAAUAAAGUCAUUUUUUUUUUCUUGAGCAUCAAAAAAAUAAACCGUGACAAUUAUCUAACUCUUGAGAAGUCUAAUAAUUUUUGAAAAAGUUAUUCAGAAACAUAUAUCUACAUCACAAGAGAAAUAGUUAACAAAAACAAAUGAAUUUAGAUUGCAUCAUGAUAACUUCAUAUAUUGGAACAUUACAUACUAAUAUAUAUGUUAAGUAAAAAUAUAAUUAUUAUAUCAUAAAAAUUAUUUUCCUCAAGUAUUCGAGAUUAUGGAAUAUACCUUCUUAGGAUAGAACAAUUUACUUCAUCAGAAUAGUGGUACCUCAUAUUCCGCUAAACUUUGGACUCACUCAACGUCAAUAAAUCACACGAAAUUUUUAUAAAAUACAAGAAGAAGAAGAGUAGAAGAUUAAAAAAUUAUUGUUGAAAAUGAGAGGAAGCCCCUCUAUUUAUAGUCAACAAAAGGUAGUAUGAACAAGUGUUUUUUGUGUCUUAUCUGAAAAGGCAUGACCUUUCAGAGAAGUCACUACCCUUUGAAAAAGUCACAACUCUUUGGAAAAGUCACAACUCAUCGAAAAAUCACAACCCUUUGAAAAAAGUCACAACUUAUCGGAAAAGUCACUACUCAUCGAAAAAGACACAACCUAAGUUAGGGAUAUUAUAGUAAUUUAACAUUCAAGUUAGGAGUUCAUGCUUUUAAGGUAACUAGACUAUAUUCACUGCACAUGCGUUGCACGUGUAGGUUAAGUCUUGAGAUCCCUAUACACGAGAUAUUUUAUCUUUUUAUGUGUAUUUUAGGCUUUCAACAUAUCAAUAUGUAUUUAAUAUUGCACUACGUCAUACUAACUGAAUGACCAAUCUAUUUUCCUUCUUGCUUGUUGGGCAUGCAGUGACGAACGUUGUAUUCUUAAAUUGUUAUUAGGCAAUUUGUUAGUAAGUAAUUGUGCACGAAUUAACAGUUUGUCCUCUUAGUUAUGUAGUGUCAUGAACUGUAUGUUCCCUUUUAUUAUUUGAAAUUCAGUGUACCCUGUAUGUGAAUAACUUUAUAUACACAAAACUAAUGUCUUCUAUGGUAGCUGUCUGGUAUUUUUCAUAUCAUCUCCUCUUCCACAAAACCUAAGAAUUCGUCCAAUAAAAUUUUCAUUAGAAACUGUAUGUUCCCUUUUGUUUUUUCCUGUUUGAUUUCUUACAGUUUUGGUAUUUAUCAAAUCUCACCUAAUACUUUCUUGUAGACCGUAUUUCUUGUAUAUGUCCCGGUGCAUCAAUCUAGUUGUUCAAUUAUGACCUGCACUUUUUUUGUUGGCAUAGAUAUUCCUCUAUAUAGUGAAACAUAUAGUUUACCAUAGAGAAAGCAUGUUGUGGUAGGUAUACUCCUACAUUUGACAUCGUUUGUCCUUCAGUUUUAUUUAUCAUCAUUGCAAAAACAUAGACGUAUUGGAAAUUAUUCCGAAUAAAUUUGAAAGGGUAUCCUUCAUUUUCGCAGGGGAGGGGGGGGGGUGAUAGUUGUAUUGUUGGAGUAAGUACCUGGUUUGUGGCAUAUUGACCUGUUGUUUCUUCUGCAUGUAUGGCAUUCUCGUCAGAGCCUCUACAAAUUAACCAUGUCCCAUUGCAUAAUCCAUUUGAGGGGUCCAGUUUUCUCAGCAGCAUGAUGGGCGCAUUUUAUUUUAAAACUAACCUAAUGUAUAAAAUUAACAGAAUCAUCAAUUGUUAUGUAUAUGUAAUUAGGUAAUUCUUUUCUUCUCUUUUGUGCUAUGAAGUAUCACAAUAAGAUAACUGUAAAAGUUAAAUAACAAACAUUAAUUGGGUAUUCAAGCAAGUUUUCUCUACUGAAAUUAUUGAAGGCACAAUAAAAAAAGCCCUUACAAAUCUCUAAUUUCUUCAUCAACAAUGUCAUUCCUUCACAUACAAGGAUGAGAUUUUGUGUUCUUUAGAAAAUCCUUUGAGAGUUAAUAACUUUGCAUGCCCAUAUUUUUUGGUUUUUAUGUUGUUGUUAUCUAUUUUUACUAAAUUUUAUCAGUGGAUAUUAUGAGUACUUUAAAGAUUGAAAGUAGAUUGAAGUGUUAGUCAAUUUUUUGAGGUAUGUUAUUUCAAAACAUCAGAACUUUUCUGGUUAAAUGAUUCGUUAUCAUCAUUGGAUAUCUCAUAGUUUACUCCCUUUAAUGUAUUUCAAAAUGAUUGAAGGGCCGCCACAUGAUUAUGAUAUUCGUAGUUGGACUGCAGAUCUAAUGAUUCUUGAUGAUUCCAUUGUUAUUUUGAACGAAGUUGACAUGUUUGUUUAUGUUGUAUGGGUAAUGAUCCAACCAAGGGUUUGGAACAAAUUAGCUACCUUUCAUUGCUUUUUAUGUAAGUCUUGUUGUGAUAGCUCUCUAAUUUGGGCAAGUGGAUGUUUCGGAUUGAUCUCCUAUAAUGUUAAGACAAAGAAGAUGAAGAAUCUUGAAUUUCAUCAUCAACGCCUAGGUAGAAGUCCAACUUGGAGUGGUUUUGGGGUUUACUAUUAUAAAGAGAGUUUAGUAACAAUUAAACGGCAAGAGAAUGGAUAGCUCGACCACAUGAGGGCUUCUUAAUGACAAAAUUGGCAAUCAAAUAUUAAAUUUCUAUAUGAGACCUUGAACUUAUUCAAUAAGAUCUUCAUGUAUUUUUAUUUACAGUUUAUUCAUCUGCUUUUCUAGUCAAGACAAAUUACUUAGGAUUUUGAUCUUGGGGUCAUGUUUCAAUAUAAGGUUCAUUACUUACUUUCAUUGUUGUUGUACAAGAUAGUUGAGCUUGGGAGUUUUUAUCAAUACAUUAAGAUCAUUCUAUGUUUGAGGUUCAUUUCUAACUUUGUUAUUACUUCAUAAUUCAUUUUCUAUAUUUUCCAAUUGUAAAUUUUGGGUGAAUUGAAGUUCUUUUUAUGACGAGCAAACUAAUGACUUUAAAUUAAGUAUUCUAUUUAUGUACUUUCAUAGAGGACGCAAUUGAGCAGAGUGUACCACCUUUGUCAUAGUCAGUGGUCUAUUUAUAGUUGUGAUUGUUGUCAUAGUCAAUAAGGUCGAAAUUCAAGUCAUGUGAUUGAUAACUUUCCUGCACGAUCUCAAGAGCACUGAAUUAGAAUAAGAGGUUUACCAUCAUAUUUGUUUGGGAUAAGGGUCUGAAAAAUACCCAACUUUGGUCGAAUUUGCUGUUGCGAUACUAAACUUUCAUGAGGACCUAUUACCUCCCUAAACUAUUUAAUACCGUAUUUUUUACCCCCUGAACUAUUUAAUAAUGUAUUUUAAAGGUAUAUAUGUGCUCACGUGGACACAUUACUAUAUUUAUAAUUUUGCAUUAUUUUUUAUGUCCACGUGGGCAAAUAUAUAUGUUUAAAAUACGAUAUUAAAUAGUCUAGGGAGGUAAUAGGUCCUCAUGAAAGUUUAGUAUCGCAACAGCAAAUCCGACCAAAGUUGAGGUAUUUUUCAGACCCUUAUCCCUAUUUGUUUCAUUUUAAAAAAUAUAUAAUUUAAAUGAAACAAACGUGUUUUACGUGACAAAUUCUUGAAUGCUUAAUAUUUUUCCUUCAAUCAAAAAAAUAAAAACCCAAAUUCUUUCUUCAAGGAUCGAUGAAAAAAGAUCAAUUUGGAAUUCACUAAAAUUCAAUUCAUGUAACGACCCUAUUUAAUUAAAUUAAAAUUAUAAGUUUACUUGAAAAAAAUAUUCUUAAGUUUUCCAUUGUUGUUCAUAAGCCAUAAGGCCUAUGUCAUUGCAACUCAUUAUGAUCAUCAAUAUUUUUUGCUUAUUUUUUUAAAAUCUUAAUAUUGUUUAAUAAAAAAGCGACUUUCUAAAAUAAUAACUAUACCUCGAAUGAUAUAUGAGAUAUUAACUGAAAUAUUGCAUCAUUAUCGCACACCAGUGUUUUCAAAAAUAGUUUUUGGGGCGAGUCUCGGGGGGUACAAAAAACGCUUCGGGGCACAAAUUGAAGAUGUAGAACCAUAGGUCGUUAGUCCUAGAAUUUAGGGCGGAACCCUGGUCGGAAAAACGUACGCAUGUGCGUUUUUUUUAUUUUGCUUUAAAUCAUAUUUUUUAUUAUUGGUGUAAUGAUAUUUCUCAAAUAGUAGUUGUAAUACUUUUUUUCUUCAUUAUUGGUUAUUAAUAUCUUUCUCAAAUAAAAAUCAUAAUAUUUUUUUUCUAUAUAUUAUAGGUUGUUUAUUAAAAUUUAUAUGUAAAAUAAUUGAAAGUUUUACUUUUGCUUAUGUACUUAGUGAUAAAAUUAUAAAAUUGAAUAUACAUGAGACUACGCCCCGUAGAUCCAUAAGACUUACGCCUCGUGUCUCGGGACUUACGUCUCACCCCGUACUAUAUAAAAUGUCUCGCCUCACAUCCCUGCCUUUUAAAACAUUGUCGCACACUUUUCUAAUUCAUGUGGUUGGCAAAAUUAUAAAAAAAAAAUAGUUUGAUACAUAGUAAUUUACUUUAUUAAGAAGAGAUAAUCUUCUAUAACCAUUUAAAAAUUAAUCAGAAGGAAAUUAUCUUUCAGAUACUUAUCCACUAUUUUCAAAUCUCUUACCUAUAAAAAUUGCAAAUAAAUCUAUAAAAUCAAUUAAACGUGUUCAAAUUGAAUUUAAGUUUUAUCUCAUGCACAACUUUAAUCCUCCCAUAAAUUUCAUGUUUGGAGUUCAAAAUAUAAAAUAUAGAUAUUUGCAAACAAAAACUUAAAAUAAAAAGAAUAUACUCUCAAACAUAAAGUAAUUAUAAUAAUAUGAAGCUUUUCAAAGAAAAAUAAACUUUUUUUCUUGAAAAAAACUUCGAACUUCUAAUAAACGUGAAAGGAAAAACUGGAAAGGAAAAUAAAAUUUAAAAACUAAUACAAAAUUAUGCAGUUUGAAUAAUUUAAUUUAAAAAUUACCUUAGCUAAGUUAUAAACCCAAAUAAACUGAAUUUGAAUUUUCUUCUCUAUCCACAAGAGAAACACACAAUAUUCAUCUAUAUAUAAUUGGAGUUGUAAUUUUUUAAGCUUUUAUUUUAUUUAAACCUGUAAUCCGCCCAGCUCCACCUUGCAUCAGCUUUUUAAAAUUUUAUUUCAACUUGCUCCCACUCGCCCCACCCGCAUAACCUUAAAAUAAUAAUUUUAGCAGUUUGUGAUGAUUGCAUUAUGUUUUGUUUUUGGUUAAGAUAUCAAGAAAAUGGUAUUGUGGACUUUAUUCAGCUUGAGCAUUUAUGCCACAUGAUAAAUAGUGAAAUUCCGAGUCAAAUUUCAUAUGACCAAAACAGAUCACUUUGAGCGACUUGUCCAAAUUAAUAACGAUUGUUUAUUUAUUUUAGUAAGUCAUUAAGCUUUGAGUGAUGCACUAUCAAUUAUUUAUUUAAAUAAUUCGUUGUGAGGUAAAUGAGUAUACAUUUAAUAUUUUAAAUUAUGUAAAAUACUAACGUGUCGUGAUCAAUUUGUACUCUUGUAACACUUUUAUAACCGCUAAUCAUUGAAACUUGUGAUAUUGUUACUUCUUUUUUGUGUCUUUUGAUGUGAUAUUUCUUUUAUUUUAAUUUAUAGAUAUUAAAAAGUUAUGUUAAAAGUGUUAUUUUCUAAUUUUGAAAAAUAACUGUUUAAUUUUCUUUAUUUAUACUCUUAGUAAAAAAAAAAGUAUAAUCACACAACAUGUUAAAAUCAUAAAUUUCAAAAUUCUUUUAUUUGUGCAAAUAUUAAAGUACUCUGAUUUUAGAAGUUCAUUUGAUGAAAUAAACUCGAUAUCACAACUUAAAUAAUUGAUUAGUGGACGAAAAUUCAAGGAAUGAGAUGAUCUGAAACUCAACUAACAUCAAUAAAUGAGGGGGGGAAGUGUAAAAAAAAAAUGAAUUUGAAUGAAGAGAAAAAUUGUGGAAGAUGUGAUGAUGACGGAGAGGGGAUCCUUGAAAUGGAUGGAUUUAAUAUACACUAGUUGUAAAACUUAGAACGAGUUGUUUAAGAAAAAAAAAACGGAUAAUGGUAAGUCGCUCAAAGUUCAAUGACUUACUUAAAAAAAUAAAAUUAAAGUUGGAUAAAUGGACGUUUGGGCAGCUAAUGUUAAUUUGGACAAGUCGCUCAAAGCCUUGCAACUUGUUCGAUUUACUCAUUUUAGAUUAUAUUUUUAAAAAAAAAAAAGUAGGUUUAGCUCGAAUUUAUAAGUUGUCACUCCAUAAGAUGUGGUUCUAUGCACUUUACAAGGCUAUUGAGACAUACAACAACACACCAAUGCACCAUAACUAACUUUCUUUCAGCGAAAUGAUAUAUUUUGCGUAUGUUCAUAUGAUGUUGAACUUAGUGGCUUACUUGUAUCUCAUUUUUAUGCCUAUUGCAAGUUUAUUUAUACUAUUAUGCACUACUAUUUUAAAUAAUAGUCACAAGUUACUAUUAUAUGUAGAUAGUAUUGAGAUUGAUCCAACAGUGAACCGUUGAAGUGCACGUUCCAGUUUAACCAGAUCGCUAGAAGCACCAUUAGGCCAAGUUUUAUUUUACGUGGGCCAAAGACUAUCCCCUUUGCUUUUCCGACUCUGCGAGUUGUGUUUCGUAGCAAUUGUAGAUAGACUCAUAGAUUGCACCAUCACUUAUAUUUGAGAUACUGGGGUUUCACUUAUGUAUUACCUUUCUACAUUUAAUAUUUAAUAGCAUGUUUUCCGCAAACUAUUACUCCCUCUGUCCCAAUUUAUAUGACUUACUUUCCUUUUUAGUCAGUUCUAAAAAGAAUUGACACAUUUCUACAUUUAGUAAGAAAUUUAACUUUAAAAUACCCAAUUUACCCUUAAUAAAAUAAUUUACAGCUACACAAACAUCUGUGACUUAUUUUAGAUCACAAGUUUUGAGUCAAACUAAGUCAUAUAAAUUGAAAUGGAGGAAGUAGCACUCAAUCUAGCCAGUUGGCCAAGUUCUUUGGGUGCCAAUCACAGUAUAAGUGCCAGAUUUAGGUGGUGAACUUCAUUAACACCACCAUUUCUCCACUAUAAUCAUCAGAUAUAACCUUGUAAAAACCAUUAACAAGGACAAAUUUCACACUCAAUGGCUCCAUAUUGCAUUAUUCUAUGGAUAAGCAAAUGGUACCAUGGAAAAAAUAUGUCGAUGAAGGCAUUAGAACUACAACGAAACAGGGAGCUGAAACGGGAGAGAGAGAGAGAGCGCAUUGAUGUUUAAAUGGGGAAAGACAAGGUUGGUAGAGCGAAGCGACUCUUUAAAGAGUGCAAACUAGAUAAUAAACACAGAAUUAUGCUAUGAACUGUUUUGUAGUUGAUAUGACUCAAUAAUUAACAGCUAAUCACAACAUUAAUACUCUAUGAGAAAAGCUUAGUGCUUAAACGAACCAUGUCAUACUGAGAUUAAAAAUGGCACUACCUUGGCCUUGACAAACAUGGAAUUAAAAUAACAAGACUUACAUUUUCCAGAUUUUAAUUUUAUCAAACAUCCCUUUGCUCCUACAAGCGUUAAUGUAAAACAUCAAGCUUUGAUAUUUUUGAUAGUCUUAGAGAGGAGUGGCCCCACCUUUCUCAUCAGUAGAACCCUCUAAUCAUACAACUACUCAUUAAUCAUUACUUACAUCAAUAUUUAUGCCAUAUUACUAACUAAAAAUGUUAAAUUACAUACGACAAGAGUGCAAAUUACAGGUAACAAAAGCAAAAUAAGGGAGGACAAAUACCUAUGAUGUAUAGCAAGGUACUUAAUACUUAUAAUCCAAAUCCUUUUCUGCUUACAUUGCAUGUUCCACGGAGAACUGGAGAAGGAAGUGCCUCGAAAGCCCCACCAUUUGGUUAUCAAAAUUAUACUGCAGCCCCCUGUCGUGCAAUAAAAGGAUACAAGACAUUUGGUCCCCUCCCAGAUGUAAUGAUUUGUGUUCUUGCAGGGUUUACUACAUACACAUUCAUAUAUCCAGUUGCUCAAGGUUGAUCAUGCUCGCUGAAUGUUGUAUAAGUUGCUUCCUAACAUCCACCUGUAAUUGGCAUAAUGGAGAUGAGCAAUAAAAUCAAGUCAUUAGCAAAAGAGUGGAAAGAGAUGGACAGCCACCAGUCCACCAUAGUUAUAAAAAGAAAUGCAUCAAGUCUGUCUCAACAAGUAGAUGUCCCUAAUAAAGUCUAGGCACUAACACUACAUUCAGAAUAGAAAGACAUACCUUGGAACCCAUUAGUGAAGAGAAGACGACAUUUGCUUCAGCUGCAUCCUCCACUACUAAUUGCUUUAACAGCCUAGUCUCUGGGUUCAUUGUUGUUUCCCAUAACUGCGCUGGCAUCAUCUCUCCCAAUC
rnacentral:lncRNA from 1 species